CGAACGCACAGAACUAUGUCUGGGAGUGGCACACUGCUCAGUAACACGUAGCUAACCUACCCUUAGGACGUGGAUACCCCCGAGAAAUUGGGGUUAAUCCGCGAUAGAUGUAAUGUCCUGGAAUGGUAUUACGUCUAAAGGUAUUUCAUACAUGUUUGAAAUAUGCCUAAGGAUGGGGCUGCGGCCGAUCAGGCUGUUGGUGAGGUAAUGGCUCACCAAACCUUUGACCGGUACGGGCCAUGAGAGUGGUAGCCCGGAGAUGGACACUGAGACAAGGGUCCAGGCCCUAAGGGGCGCAGCAACCGCGAAACCUCCACAAUGCACUCACGUGCGAUGGGGCUAUCUCGAGUGCCACCUGAUGAAGGUGGCUUUUCCUUGGUCUUCAAAGCCUUGGGAAUAAGAGGGGGGCAAGACUGGUGUCAGCCGCCGCGGUAACACCAGCCCCUCGAGUGGUGGGGAUGAUUAUUUGGCCUAAAGCGUCCGUAGCCGGCCGUGAAAGUCUUCCGUUAAAUCCAGCGUCUCAAGCGUUGGACCGCGGGAGAUACUACAUGGCUAGAGAGUGGGAGAGGUCAGCGGUAUUCUGGGGGUAGGGGCGAAAUCCUUUGAUCCCCGGAGGACCACCAGUGGCGAAGGCUGCUGACUAGAACACGUCUGACGGUCAGGGACGAAAGCUGGGGUAGCGAACCGGAUUAGAUACCCGGGUAGUCCCAGCCGUAAACGAUGCAUGCUAGGUGUUGGGUUGGCCACGAGCCACCCCAGUGCCGCAGGGAAGCCGUUAAGCAUGCCGCCUGGGAAGUACGAUCGCAAGAUUGAAACUUAAAGGAAUUGGCGGGGGAGCACCACCAGGCGUGAAGCCUGCGGUUUAAUUGGAUUCAACGCCGGG
rnacentral:rRNA from 1 species